UUUUUGGACUGCAACUCCCAUCAGACCCUGCCAGCACAACUGUGCUGGCUGGGCCUGAUGGGAGCUGUAGUCCAAAGC